AAUCCGUGGGGUGGGCAUUUCAAAGUCAAUUCUUUAAACCUCUCCCAGCUCUCAUAGAAUUUCUCCUCCUCUUCUUGAGUAAAACCACUAAUCACCCGACGGU